GACGAACCGUGCGAACGUUAUUCGGAAUCACUGGGCUUAAAGCGCGUGUAGGUGGGGCGGCACGUCCGACGCUGAAAUCCCCCGGCUUAACCGGGGAACUGGCGGGGAUACGACCGUCCUCGAGGGACGUAGGGGGACCUGGAACUUCCGGUGGAGCGGUGAAAUGCGUUGAGAUCGGAAGGAACGCCCGUGGCGAAAGCGAGGUCCUGGACGUUUUCUGACACUGAGACGCGAAAGCCAGGGGAGCGAA
rnacentral:rRNA from 1 species